rnacentral:lncRNA from 1 species
GUGUCUGUGAAUGCUUGGGUGGGGAAUGAAGCUCAAGAACAGAUGUUACCACCUUCAAAGGGAUCCUUCCAAAUGCAAAGCUUUACCUGCUGUACAGUUCUCCCUGGAAUGUAAAACUGUGGACAAAUGAAGAUCAGAUCAUUCUGGGAUUGGCUGAAAGACGUUUCUCUUUCUACCAAUGACCUUGACCUCAGGAGCCUGAAUUAUCAAAAGAACAUGAUGCCAGCCAUGAAACACUGGUAUACUCAACAAUCUAGCAAGGACCACAUCUUUGCCAGUGAGCAUCUAGACAACAAAAAGGAGCAAGGAUGGUCACCAAUCACUCCUGCCUUGAAGUUAUUAUCUUGCCAAAGAUGCAAGCUUGUUUUGAUUUUGCUGUUUAUUUAUGUUUCCCCACAGAAACAUACUCUAAUCAUAAAUGAAUGAGUCAAAGCUCUUCAGGGGUGUGAGUAUUGGCUCACCAAAAUCCCACAACCAGAAUUGUACCUUGGAGACUCAACCUGGUGAGGUCUGGACUUUUGUAAUAAGCUGAUCUGAAGAAUGUGAGUGGCAUUUCACCCAAAGCAACGAACCAAGAUGUGGUGAGCACUAUGGCAGUCAACUUCAUUAUUGUAAAGAAAAUUGCAUGCAUGGGAUAUACCCAACUCCUAAGGAGGAGAAUGGCUUAGAAGUAUGCUCUGCCCUUGUCUGUGACAUGCACAGAACCAGCAGCAGACAGACAGCAUCCCCUGGGAAUAACAAGUGUCCACUCUUGGCUUCUAAGGCUUCAAUGCAGAAAGCUCAGCCUACCCCAUGGGCAACUUUUUCUACCUCUUCAUCUAGCCAGUUUGGUCAGCAGUGCUGGUGAGCUUCAGUGGCCUGGCUUUGUUCUGGGCUCUGAACCCUUGGGUGAAGGGUGAGAUCCAGAAAUGUCCUGGAUAAAUGUGUCCUUAAGGGUCUUUCCCUGUGCAUUAAGAGCAGUAUUGUAUUCCUAGAAUUCUUUAGUUCUCACUGAAGUGU